ACCCAUCUUCUCUCUCAGAAAUAGAUGUACAAAGACAAAAAAAAACAACCAUCAACACCCAUCUUCUCUCUCAGAAAUAGAUGUACAAAGACAAAAAAAACAACCAUCAACACCCAUCUUCUCUCUCAGAAAUAGAUGUACAAAGACAAAAAAAAACAACCAUCAACACCCAUCUUCUCUCUCAGAAAUAGAUGUACAAAGACAAAAAAAAAACAACCAUCAACACCCAUCUUCUCUCUCAGAAAUAGAUGUACAAAGACAAAAAAAAACAACCAUCAACACCCAUCUUCUCUCUCAGAAAUAGAUGUACAAAGACAAAAAAAAACAACCAUCAACACCCAUCUUCUCUCUCAGAAAUAGAUGUACAAAGACAAAAAAAAACAACCAUCAACACCCAUCUUCUCUCUCAGAAAUAGAUGUACAAAGACAAAAUAACAACCAUCAACACCCAUCUUCUCUCUCAGAAAUAGAUGUACAAAGACAAAAAACCAACCAUCAACACCAAUCUUCUCUCUCAGAAAUAGCUGUACAAAGACAAAAAAAACAACCAUCAACACCCAUCUUCUCUCUCAGAAAUAGAUGUACAAAGACAAAAAAAAAAACAACCAUCAACACCCAUCUUCUCUCUCAGAAAUAGAUUUACAAAGACAAAAAAAACCAACCAUCAACACCCAUCUUCUCUCUCAGAAAUAGAUGUACAAAGACAAAAAAACAACCAUCAACACCCAUCUUCUCUCUCAGAAAUAGAUGUACAAAGACAAAAAAAAAACAACCAUCAACACCCAUCUUCUCUCUCAGAAAUAGAUUUACAAAGACAAAAAAAACAACCAUCAACACCCAUCUUCUCUCUCAGAAAUAGAUGUACAAAGACAAAAAAACAACCAUCAACACCCAUCUUCUCUCUCAGAAAUAGAUGUACAAAGACAAAAAAACAACCAUCAACACCCAUCUUCUCUCUCAGAAAUAGAUGUACAAAGACAAAAAAAAACACCCAUUAACACCCAUCUUCUCUCUCAGAAAUAGAUGUACAAAGACAAAAAAAAAACAACCAUCAACACCCAUCUUCUCUCUCAGAAAUAGAUGUACAAAGACAAAAAAAAAACAACCAUCAACACCCAUCUUCUCUCUCAGAAAUAGAUGUACAAAGACAAAAUAACAACCAUCAACACCCAUCUUCUCUCUCAGAAAUAGAUGUACAAAGACAAAAAACCAACCAUCAACACCAAUCUUCUCUCUCAGAAAUAGAUGUACAAAGACAAAAAAAAACAACCAUCAACACCCAUCUUCUCUCUCAGAAAUAGAUGUACAAAGACAAAAAUAAACAA